CUGUGGAAUCUCUGAGAAAGACUUUGUUUGUUACAAUGGCUUACAAAAAUGGAUUUUUAAAUCGUAUGUGUGUACAAUUCAGAAUACUUUAAGGCGCAGAUCUUGACCAGCUACUUAGAGCUCCACUGAUUAACAGCUUGGAUCAGCGGUCUGCUAACAACAGUAGUAGUUCCUUGAAUGCCGGAUUGGUUUCUUAGCCUGGGCCUGAUAUUCAGAACAUAAUUGUUGGGCCCUCAGAGCCAUCUGCAUCGACCAGCUCAGCAUCUUCAGCUUUUGAUGUAGCCGGAUUGGUUUCUCAGCCAGGGUUUGAUAUCCAGAAUAGAGAUGCAGGACACUCAGAGCCAUCUGCAUCGACCGGUUCAGAUCAGUUCACAUAGCUCUCUUUGUUAAAAGUCAACAGGGGAGUUAAACGACCCCGGCCUGACAAAUUAGCAACAAGGGCUACUACCUCAAGGCUUAGUACUAAGAGACAUCUAGCGGUGACCCUGACACGUUGUAGCCCGAUGACAACCCACGAAUCAGUUGAACUCCACAGUUCAGAUGUGCUGAGCUCUCAGGAUAAUGUUUCUAACUGGGACGAUGCUUUGAUCAAAGUUCAGCGGUGACAGAUAGACCUUCAGACGUUACAAAUGCUGAUAAUUUUGUGCUGGAUAUAGAUGAUCAAGACUUGAUAUUAGCUGCAGACAGCGUUGCCCCCACAACUGUUACCAAUAAUACAGAGCUGACCGAGGUGGUUGAAAAUCAUCAGACUGAUGAACUUAACGCUGUUGAGACUCCUGCCGAACAUUCUGCAUCAACUAAUGAUCAAGCUCUACCAUCAAAUCAACAAUGCUUCAUUCAUGAACUAUUGCUGGGGGGCCGUGAACAUAAUCGACGUGUGGAGGAAAAACUGUUGAGUCUUCGGAGAUGUUCAGCUUGUUCAUUCAGUCAUAUUGAUACGUUAUUGACAAACUCUGUUGAACAAGGACAGAUAUGCAGACUGGUUCAUGAACGUACAGACUUUAUUGCCGAACAAGUGAAGAAGAUCGACAGCGGGCGUUGGGAGGAAUUCAGAGAACGUCAACUCACGCACCAGAGAGACUGAAACCUCGCGAUUCCCUUUUUGGUGGAAGGACCAAUGCGUACAAGUUGUACCACAAAACUGUUGAUGGUGAGAAUCCUAUCCAGAAAUUAUUUUCAGCGAUUUUGAAAAUCUUGAAAAUUAUUAUGGUCUUGUCAAGGUAAAGAUGCUGCAUCCUCGAAAAUUACUAUAUCCGCUGCUUCCCAUAAGAUCCAAUGGGAAAUACAUUUUUGCCCUCUGCCGCACAUGUGUGGAAGAGCAAAGUGAUGUCAUACCUUGUACUCACACCGAUGAUGAAAGAGCAAUUUCGGGAACAUGGGUCAGUCUGGAAUUGUUAAAAGCCAUUGAGAAGGGUUAUGAGGUGGUUAAGAUCUAGGAGGUGUGGCAUUUUCCACAGAGAUCUGACAGUCUGUUUUGUGAUUAUGUGAAGACGUUUUUGCAGUUUAAACAGCAAGCCUCUGGCUAUCCCUCAGAUGUAAUCACUGAGAAUGACAAGAGGACGUACAUCUAUGACUAUCAUAAACAAGAAGGGAUUAAACUUGAUCCUGAAAAGAUAGCUUAUAAUCCUGCUCAAAGGUCAGUUAUGAAAUUACUUUUGAACAGUCUUUGGGGACGGUUCUGUUUAAGAGAAAAUCUUGCUAAUUCUAAACUUUUGAAAAACCCUGAAGAUUUUGCUCAUUUCAUCUUUGGAUGUCAGUAUGAGAUCAAGUUCUUCACUUUUCUAUCUGACAGCGUUGCACAAGUACAGUACAAACAUGCAGUGGGGUCUUGUUAUGAGACUCGAGAUGUAAAUGUCUUUAUAUGUGCUUUUACUACAGCCCAUG